rnacentral:rRNA from 1 species
CAGCCGCCACGGUAAUACGAAUGGUGCAAGCGUUACUCGGAAUUACUGGGCGUAAAGCGUGUGUAGGUGGUUGUUUAAGUCUGUCGUGAAAGCCCUGGGCUCAACCUGGGAAUUGCAGUGGAUACUGGGUCACUAGAGUGUGGUAGAGGAUAGUGGAAUUUCCGGUGUAGCAGUGAAAUGCGUAGAGAUCGGAAGGAACAUCUGUGGCGAAGGCGACUAUCUGGGCCAAUACUGACGCUCAUGCACGAAAGCGUGGGGAGCAAACAGGAUUAGAUACCCGCGUAGUCCCUGUCUCUUAUAC